UACGUAGGUGGCAAGCGUUGUCCGGAUUUACUGGGCGUAAAGAGCGCGCAGGCGGUCGUUCAAGUCGCGUGUGAAAGCCCCCGGCUCAACUGGGGAGGGUCACGCGAUACUGAUCGACUGGAAGGCAGGAGAGGGUAGUGGAAUUCCCGGUGUAGUGGUGAAAUGCGUAGAUAUCGGGAGGAACACCAGUGGCGAAGGCGGGUCUCUGGACAGUUCCUGACGCUGAGGCACGAAGGUCAGGGGAGCAAACAGG
rnacentral:rRNA from 1 species